CCUCGAACAGCCCCAAAAGAGCUCAGCUUCCCAAGCUGAGAGCGCGAGUUCGAUUCUCGUCACCCGAUCCA
rnacentral:tRNA from 1 species